AACGCACCUUGCACCCUUUGGUAUUCCGAAGGGUACGCCCGUUUGAGUGUCAUUGUACUCUCACACCCGAGGACUCUGUCCGAAGGAUUGUGGACUUGGAUGCUGCCGUGUCACAACGGCUCGUCUCAAAUGCAUGAGUGUAACCUGCCAGUCGGUGUUAUUUCAAUGUGAUAAGUAUCUUCAUUGGAUCGGCUCCUCGGAGUCGCACCUUUUGGUCGGGGGAUGCGCUGCCAACUGUCCUCGGACAAACUUUACUUGACAAUUUGACCUCAGAUCGGGCGGGACUACCCGCUGAACUUAA
rnacentral:misc_RNA from 1 species